CUGUGUGUGUAUUAGACACCCCGGCCUUCUCACUACCUGUAUCAACUAUGGCCUGAGUAUGAUAGACUUAUCCAUGGUUUAAACAGAAUAUAUUGUUUUCAACUUUGAAAAUAAGAAUAUGGAAAUCCAGAUGCAGAAAUGUGAGAAGAAAAGAGAGUAAACAGAGUGGAAGGUCAGGUGACCUUGCCUGUCAUGAAUAUGAAGGUCAAGGUGUGUGAAUUGUGAAAUUUCCAAGAGAACCUCACUGAAGCAAAGAAUGGAGAAAGAAUCGCAUUUGGCCCUGGGAGCGUGCAGGGGUGAAUGGUGCAGGAGCUAAAUCUUUAUCAUACCCAGAAAUCAACAGCCACUAUUUGAAAUCAUCUAAAUUCGUGCUGCUAACCUUCAGUGUACACACAAAUCACCUGGGGAUCUUAUUAAAAGCUAGUUUCUGAUUCACUAAAUCUGUGUGAGGUGGAAGUUGAGGGCAGAGAAGCUCCCAAGGGUGUCAAGCUGACCCUGAACCCGACUUUGAGGGUUAAGGUCCCAAAUGGCAUCGCCAGCACCAGGGACAGACACUAAAAUUGUAGAAAUCAUCUCAAGAAAUGAACAGCCUCUAAGUCAGAUGUUGAAUGUGAAAGAAAUCAGGGUGUGUACGUGUGUGUGUGUUUGUGUGUGCACGUGUGUGCCUGUGUUUGUGCAUGUAUGUUUCUAUGUGUGCACAUGUGUGUAUGUGUCUGUGCAUGUGUGUUUCUGUGUGUGUGCCUGUGUGUGUAUUGGCUUAGAUCUGUUCGAGACUUUUUAUUUGAUGAGAUCGACAUAUG
rnacentral:lncRNA from 1 species